AUGACUCAAGAUAGCCAUGCACGUCUAAGUACAAACUAAAUGAUGGUGAAACUGCAAAUGGCUCAUUACAACGGUUAUGAUGUACCCGGGAGUUCCGAUGGAUAUUUCCAGUAACACUAGAACUAAUACAUGUCCCUGCGUUUAUUAGUUUCGCACAGUCCGUCGCUGAGUCAUGGUAAACAGUUGAUCGACUCGACGUCCCGGAACAGUUUCCGCCCCAUCAGCUUCGAUGGUUGGGUAUUGGCCUACCAUUGCAACAACGGGUAACGAGGAAUUAGGGUUUGAUUUCGGAGAGGGAGCCUGAGAAACGGCUACCACAUCUACGGAUGGCAGCAGGCGCGCAAAUUACCCAAUGCAGACACUGUGAGGUGGUGACGAGAAAUAAUAAAGCGGGACUUCUGUUUCGCUAUUAUAAUGAGGAAUAACCAAAGGUCAUUCCGAUUAGCAACUGAUGGGAAAGUCUGGUGCCAGCAGCCGCGGUAAUACCAGCGUCAGUAGCA
rnacentral:rRNA from 1 species